CUGGGGUACGGUGACAUGUACCCCAUGACGUGGUCUGGGAUGUUGGUGGGUGCCCUGUGUGCCCUGGCAGGGGUGCUCACCAUCGCCAUGCCCGUCCCCG
rfam:Chaetura pelagica isolate M959 contig64607, whole genome shotgun sequence.